rnacentral:rRNA from 1 species
UACGUAGGUGGCAAGCGUUAUCCGGAUUUAUUGGGUGUAAAGGGCGUGUAGGCGGGAAAGCAAGUCAGAUGUGAAAACUCAGGGCUCAACCCUGAGCCUGCAUUUGAAACUGUUUUUCUUGAGUGCUGGAGAGGCAAUCGGAAUUCCGUGUGUAGCGGUGAAAUGCGUAGAUAUACGGAGGAACACCAGUGGCGAAGGCGGAUUGCUGGACAGUAACUGACGCUGAGGCGCGAAAGCGUGGGGAGCAAACAGG